GACGAACGCUGGCGGCGCGCCUAACACAUGCAAGUCGAACGGAGUUGUGUUGAAAGCUUGCUGGAUAUACAACUUAGUGGCGGACGGGUGAGUAACACGUGAGUAACCUGCCUCUCAGAGUGGAAUAACGUUUGGAAACGACUGCUAAUACCGCAUAAGCCCACGACCCGGCAUCGGGUUGAGGGAAAAGGAGCAAUCCGCUUUGAGAUGGCCUCGCGUCCGAUUAGCUGGUUGGUGAGGUAACCGGCCCACCAAGGCAACGAUCGGUAGCCGGACUGAGAGGUUGAACGGCCACAUUGGGACUGAGACACGGCCCAG
rnacentral:rRNA from 1 species